GAUGAACGCUGGCGGCGUGCUUAAUACAUGCAAGUCGAACGGAAAGGCCCAAGCUUGCUUGGGUACUCGAGUGGCGAACGGGUGAGUAUAACGUGGGUGUACUGCCCUGAUCUUCCGGAUAUGCCUGGGAAACAGGGUCUAUUAUCGGGUAGGACGUUGUUAUGGAUGUCGUUGUGGAAAGAAUUUUCGGUGUGGUAUGAGCUAGCGGUCUAUCAGCUUGUUGGUGGGGUAAUGGUCUGGCAAGGCGUUGCCGGGUAGCCGGACUGUGAGAGUGUACGGCCACAUUGAGACUGAGAUACGGCACAGACACCUACGGGAGGGAGCAGUGGGGAAGAUUGCACAAUGAGCGCAAGCCUGAUGCAGCGACGCCGCGUGUGGGAUGACGGCCUUCGGGUUGUAGACUACUUUCGCUAGGGACGAAGCAUUUUGUGACGGUACCUGGUGAAGAAGCACCGGCUAACUACGUG
rnacentral:rRNA from 1 species